CUUUAUAGUAUGUAACACUAGUAGAAAAAGAUAAAAACGCACCGACAAAUGCGCACCGGUUAUUAAAAACCGGUGCCAAAAAUAAAGCCUAGACCACAAAAAUAAAAACAGGUUUAAUAGGGCACCGGUUAACCGGUGCCUUUUUUUCCAAAAUUCCCUAAAAUUAGAACACGCUCUCUCUCCUCACUCUUUCCUCUUUAUCUCUAACUCUCUUGUUUUGUCUCCUCUGUUUCCUCUCUCCUCUCAAACUCUCCGUCUCCUCUCUUUUCUCGCUCCACCGCAGCCACCACCAGCGCAACCCUCAACUCUCUCCAUCCUAGCUUCCCACCGUAGUCACCACCAGCGCAACCCUCCUCUCUCUCCAUCCUAGUUUCUUGCCACCACCACCGCAGUCGUCUCUAAUGGCGUAAGCCCUUAAAAAACUAGGAGAACGAUGCCUAGAUCUCUAAUGGCGACACUGCUCCUCACAAGCUAUGAAUUUGAUGAAUCAUCAAUCGGAAUGUACAAACCCUAAUAUUAGAAAUGAUGAUGAUGACGAUUCAGAUGAAGUAAAAGUAAGAUGUUGAGAUCAAAGAGAAGCAGAACCGAGGGAACUUCGUUGUGUGAUUUGUGGUAGGUGUAUGGGUUGUACAUUUGUGAUGAGACAGAUGAUGAUGUUUGCAUCUUGGAAAGUGGUGUUGCUUGAGUGAAGUUGCAGGUGUUGAAUGCUUCUUUUGUUAUGAAUAUGUAGAGAUUAUACUGGUUCUUGUGCUUGAAAACUGCAGAGAAAUAAAGCUCUUUAGGAACAUGUGAAUCGGAUUAUAGUAUGUUGGUGUACUUGUUGAAUAUUUGAAAUUAUAUUAUAUAGCCAAUUAUGGUCCCAUACCCAUUCAUGUGCUUGCACAAUAGAACAUUUUAUGCCAUAUAGUUUGAUACUUUGAAUUUUUCUUGGAAGGCAUCACAUGAUGGAGACUCGUCUUUCAGUAAAUAGACCCAUAAACCUGAUUAUUUAAGGUUUAUAGCCUUUUUUUGCCACUACUAUUAAUCCACUUGUACAUAGAAAAAUACCAUGCCUCCCUAUGCCUUUAAUCUUAAUGAUGCCAUUUUCUACGUUAAAGGAUUCCUAGAAUAUACUUGAGGAACAUUCCUUUUUUACCCAGUUGCUUCCUUGUCUUUAGCAUUUAGACCUCAUAGUCAGAUUGUAUGUGUUUCUGCUUAAUUCAAUUGUGAAGGUGGAUCAUUCUUGUUUUGGCUAUUAUUUAAAUAAAAAUAUUUUCUUUUGUUUUUCACUAUUUGGUGUUAGAGAGGAGAAGCUAACAAUAUAAUUGCCUUUGUAUACCUUCUUUCCAACCAGAAGUGGAUUUCCUUGCAGGGAAUAUAUUGAUAAGGACACGACAUCAGGUCUUGCUACCUGAUCUAUAAUUUGUGUGCAUCUUAUUCUAUAAUGAAAUAUGAUGAUGAUUUUAACAACUAAUGUCUUUUCCCAUUUAAUAGGGGCCAGGUAGGUUGCAUCUCCAUGUUGAUCUAAGAAGUAAUCAUUAUGUCGUGCAGCAGGUUUGUUUUUAUCAACAGUUUGAUUGUAGGGAGUGGAUUAGAAAGGCAUUGGCUACCAUCUUUUUUUGGGCAGCCUAUGAAAUGCUACGAUCCAACAAGGUAGCGGAGGAUUGGAGACAAGCUAUAAUAAGGUGGUGGUGUGUACUGCUUUAGACCAGACAACAAUGAAGAGCAUUAUAUCCGCACAGCAAGGGCUGAGAACUGCCCAUGACUUGGUGUUCUGUUUCUGUGCUGUUCCUUCUGUAAUAUUACAGUUUUUUUUUUUGUUUGGACCAAAAUUGUAAUAUUAAUGGCUUUUAGCCUUUUAUUAAUGAAAAUA